rnacentral:rRNA from 1 species
AACGCGGGCGGCGUGGCUAAGACAUGCAAGUCGAACGGACCAUCUAAUUGAGCAAUCGAAAGGGUGGUUAGUGGCGAAAGGGUGAGUAAUAGGUAGGUAACGUACCCUGGGCACCGGGAUAGCGUCAUACCCGCAAGGGUAUUUCCGAAAGGGGCGGUAAUACCGGAUAACGUCGUAGACCGACGGGUUUACGACCAAAGAUUUAUCGGCACAGGAGCGGCCUACUUCCUAUCAGCUAGUUGGUGAGGUAACGGCCCACCAAGGCGAUGACGGGUAGCGGGACUGAGAGGUUGGCCCGCCACAUCGGGACUGAGACACUGCCCGGACCUCCACGGAGGGCUGCAGUAACGAAUAUUGGGCAAUGGGCGAAAGCCUGACCCAGCGACGCCGCGUGCGGGAGGAAGUUCUUCGGAAUGUAAACCGCUUUAGGGGGAUAGAAAGUGCAUUUCGGUGCAUUGAUCGGCCCCAGAAUAAGUCACGGCUAACUUCGUGCCAGCAGCCGCGGUAAGACGAAGGUGGCAAGCGUUGUUCGGUAUCACUGGGCUUAAAGCGUGUGUAGGCGGGAACGUAAGCAUUUUGUGAAAUCCCCCGGCUUAACCGGGGAAUUGCUUGAUGUACUGCGUUUCUUGAGGCAAGUAGGGGUGCGAGGAACUCUUGGUGGAGCGGUGGAAUGCGUAGAUAUCAAGAGGAACGCCGAUGGUGAAGACAUUGCACUAGGCUUGUCCUGACGCUGAGACACGAAAGCGUGGGGAGCGAACGGGAUUAGAUACCCCGGUAGUCCACGCCGUAAACGAUGCCUACUAGGUUGUGGUGGUUCUGACGCCAGCACAGCCGAAGCAAAAGUGUUAAGUAGGCCGCCUGGGGA